CAGGGAAUCUUGCGCAAUGGGCGAAAGCCUGACGCAGCGACACCGCGUGGGGGAUGAAGGCCUUCGGGUUGUAAACCCCUUUCAGGAGGGAAGAAAUUGACGGUACCUCCACAAGAAGCACCGGCCAACUACGUGCCAGCAGCCGCGGUAAUACGUAGGGUGCAAGCGUUAUCCGGAAUCAUUGGGCGUAAAGAGCUCGUAGGCGGUUCAGCAAGUCGGCUGUGAAAGUUCGAGGCUCAACCUCGAAAUUGCAGUCGAUACUGCUGUGACUCGAGUCCGGUAGAGGAGAAUGGAAUUCCCGGUGUAGCGGUGAAAUGCGCAGAUAUCGGGAGGAACACCAGUAGCGAAGGCGGUUCUCUGGGCCGGCACUGACGCUGAGGAGCGAAAGCGUGGGGAGCAAACAGGAUUAGAUACCCCCGUAGUCC
rnacentral:rRNA from 1 species